GACGAACGCUGGCGGCGUGCCUAAUACAUGCAAGUCGAGCGGACCUUUUAAAAGCUUGCUUUUGAAAGGUCAGCGGCGGACGGGUGAGUAACACGUGGGCAACCUGCCUGUAAGACUGGGAUAACUUCGGGAAACCGGAGCUAAUACCGGAUAAUAUAAGGAACCUCCUGGUUCUUUAUUGCAAGAUGGUUUCGGCUAUCACUUACAGAUGGGCCCGCGGCGCAUUAGCUAGUUGGUGAGGUAAUGGCUCACCAAGGCGACGAUGCGUAGCCGACCUGAGAGGGUGAUCGGCCACACUGGGACUGAGACACGCCCCAGACUCCUACGGGAGGCAGCAGUAGGGAAUCUUCCACAAUGGACGAAAGUCUGAUGGAGCAACGCCGCGUGAGCGAUGAAGGCCUUCGGGUCGUAAAGCUCUGUUGUUAGGGAAGAACAAGUGCGAGAGUAACUGCUCGCACCUUGACGGUACCUAACCAGAAAGCCACGGCUAACUACGUGCCAGCCGCCGCAGUAA
rnacentral:rRNA from 1 species